CGGUUUACCCAACAAAUAAGCUGAUCUAGGGUUUGUUUGUGUUCAAUUUCACCAACACAUAUACUUUUAUGCUUUUCAAUCAAAGGAUCUCUCACAAGAAACCAAUGAUAACAUCCGUGAAUCGUUCAAUUAUUCGUUUGGUCUUCCGGUAUCUACACAUACACUUGAGUUAAAGCUUCGAUGUUCGAUGUUUUGAAGAAACACAACGAUAACUUCGCGAACAGUACAUGUAUUUUGAAAUCCAAAUUGAAUGAGAAAGGUGAAUUCAUCGAGCGUGUUAGGGUUUGUUUUUAAUAUAUCAUAUUACAGUUUUCUCCUGGUUUCACUUGCUUGUUUUCUUCAGAGGUGAUCGUACCCUAUUGUAAGGUAUCCCACUCAGAUCUAUCAAGACAUGUGGCGACCAACACUUCUUCAUAUGAUUAUCCAAUCGUUGAUGUCUGCUUCAGAUUCAAAUCUUUCAAAUAACUUAAGAGUGUUACUACCCAUGUAAUGUAGGUGGGAAUGGCUUAACCGAAGGUUAUCAUCACAAUGGGCUGCGCUAAGAAGCCAAUGGAUGAUGUUUUACAGAAGUGUUUGUGUUGGCCCAGCUCCCUGUUAAAUUAAUCCCAGAAUAGAAAAUAAUUGAUAAACAGAGAUUUUCACAAAACAAAAUGGAUAAACACUUUUAUAUAUUGUGUCAAAAAGGAUGGAGCAAAUUAUGGAUCACUCUAUGUUCCUUUGUUGCAGAAACUCAGUAAACACAGGAAAUUUAUACGGUUCUAGUUGCAAGUAUAAACUGAAGAUGUUGGUUUCGGUUGCAAGUAUGAAGACUUGGGUUCGGAAGGUUAUUGUAUAUCGUUUUCAUCUUUAAACAUUAACGUAUUUGUG
rnacentral:lncRNA from 1 species